UACAGAGGUCUCGAGCGUUAGGCGGAAUCACUGGGCUUAAAGCGUGUGUAGGUGGAUCGUUAAGUACCUUGUGAAAUCCCACGGCUUAACCGUGGAACUGCUUGGUAUACUGGCGGUCUUGAGUCAGCUAGGGGCUACCGGAACAAAUGGUGGAGCGGUGAAAUGCGUAGAUAUCAGGAGGAACACCGGUGGCGAAGGCGGUUCUCUGGGCCUGUACUGACGCUGAGGAACGAAAGCGUGGGGAGCAAACAGG
rnacentral:rRNA from 1 species